rnacentral:misc_RNA from 1 species
GAUGAAGAACGUAGCGAAAUGCGAUAAGUAAUGUGAAUUGCAGAAUUCAGUGAAUCAUCGAAUCUUUGAACGCACAUUGCGCCCGCCGGUAUUCCGGCGGGCAUGCCUGUUCGAGCGUCAUAUUAACCACUCCCGCUUGCGGGGUCUUGGGCUUCGCCUCCGGGCGGGCCUUAAAAUCAGUGGCGGUGCCGUCGGGCUCUACGCGUAGUAAAUUUUCUCGCGAUAGGGUCCCGGUGGAUGCUUGCCAACAACCCCCAACUUCUUAAGGUUGACCUCGGAUCAGGUAGGGAUACCCGCUGAACUUAAGCAUAUCAAUAAGCGGAGGA